rnacentral:misc_RNA from 1 species
UUUCCGUAGGUGAACCUGCGGAAGGAUCAUUAUUGUAUAACCGAGGUGCGAGGGCUGUCGCUGACCCGAAAGGUCGUGCACGCCCGAGUGCCCUCACACACAUCCAUCUCACCCCUAUGUGCACCACCGCGUGGGUCCCCCUUUGGCUUGUUCGGAGGGGGGCUUACGUUUUCACACAAACUUUGUAUGCAGUGUAGAAUGUAUUUUUUGUUCUUGCGAUCACGCAAUCAAUACAACUUUCAACAACGGAUCUCUUGGCUCUCGCAUCGAUGAAGACGCAGC